AUCGUUCAAUCUAAUGUUGAUUAGAUCGGAAGUAAGCUCCAGCUGAAGGAACGCGCA
rnacentral:ncRNA from 10 species